CACUUUACAAAAAACAUGGAUUCAAUGUUUGGUGAAGUAAUAUGCUUAGUGGCGGACGGGUGAGUAACGCGUGAACAAUCUGCCCUAUACAAAGGAAUAGCCUCGGGAAACUGGGAUUAAAACCAUAUAACACUUUUCGUUCGCAUGGAUGAGAAGUCAAAUUGAUUAAGAGGUAUAGGAUGAGUUCGCGUCUGAUUAGCUAGUUGGUGAGGUAAUGGCUCACCAAGGCGACGAUCAGUAGCCGGCCUGAGAGGGUGAACGGCCACACUGGAACUGAGACACGGUCCAGACUCCUACGGGAGGCAGCAGUGGGGAAUAUUGCACAAUGGGCGAAAGCCUGAUGCAGCGACGCCGCGUGAGUGAAGAAGGUCUUCGGAUCGUAAAACUCUGUCCUUGGUGAAGAAAAAAAUGACGGUGAAUGAGGAAGCCCCGGCUAACUACGUGCCAGCAGCCGCGGUAAUACGUAGGGGGCGAGCGUUGUCCGGAUUUACUGGGCGUAAAGGGUGAGUAGGCGGUUGUAUGUGUCAGAUGUAAAAGGCUAUGGCUUAACCAUAGUUGGCAUUUGAAACUGUACAACUUGAGUGCAGGAGAGGUAAGUGGAAUUCCUAGUGUAGCGGUGAAAUGCGUAGAUAUUAGGAGGAACACCAGUGGCGAAGGCGACUUACUGGACUGUAACUGACGCUGAGGCACGAAAGCGUGGGGAGCAAACAGGAUUAGAUACCCUGGUAGUCCACGCUGUAAACGAUGAAUACUAGGUGUCGGGGGUCAAAGCCCGGUGCCGCAGCUAACGACACAAUAAGCAUUCCACCUGGGGAGUACGUACGCAAGACUGAAACUCAAAGGAAUUGACGGGGACCCGCACAAGCAGCGGAGCAUGUGGUUUAAUUCGAAGCAACGCGAAGAACCUUACCAGGUCUUGACAUCCCUCUGAUCGACUCUUAGCAGCGCAGGUCUUUCGGGACAGAGGAGACAGGUGGUGCAUGGUUGUCGUCAGCUCGUGUCGUGAGAUGUUGGGUUAAGUCCCGCAACGAGCGCAACCCUUAUUGCUAGUUGCCAUCAUUUCGGGUGGGAACUCUAGAGAGACUGCCGAGGAUAACUCGGAGGAAGGUGGGGAUGACGUCAAAUCAUCAUGCCCCUUAUGAUCUGGGCUACACACGUGCUACAAUGGCGAUAACAAAGGGAAGCAAAAGGGUGACCUCUAGCAAACCCCAGAAA
rnacentral:rRNA from 1 species